rnacentral:rRNA from 1 species
GACGAACGCUGGCGGCGUGCUUAACACAUGCAAGUCGAACGGAAAGGCCCUGCUUUUGUGGGGUGCUCGAGUGGCGAACGGGUGAGUAACACGUGAGUAACCUGCCCUUGACUUUGGGAUAACUUCAGGAAACUGGGGCUAAUACCGGAUAGGAGCUCCUGCUGCAUGGUGGGGGUUGGAAAGUUUCGGCGGUUGGGGAUGGACUCGCGGCUUAUCAGCUUGUUGGUGGGGUAGUGGCUUACCAAGGCUUUGACGGGUAGCCGGCCUGAGAGGGUGACCAGCCACAUUGGGACUGAGAUACGGCCCAGACUCCUACGGGAGGCAGCAGUGGGGAAUAUUGCACAAUGGGCGGAAGCCUGAUGCAGCAACGCCGCGUGCGGGAUGACGGCCUUCGGGUUGUAAACCGCUUUCGCCUGUGACGAAGCGUGAGUGACGGUAAUGGGUAAAGAAGCACCGGCUAACUACGU